AGGUGACUAAUAGUGCCGGGAUUGCAUCAUCUGAUCGCAUAUCAUCCCGCGCGAGGCCCGGUUAUCGAGUCUUAGCAUUGCUCAAACCAUUAGACUGUGCAUUUACAAGUAAUUACAAAGCAACACGUCAAGAGGUUAGCCGUGGUCGUAUCGGCUCGCAUAUACGAGCAUGUGAUUGGCUCUGUGCCGAGAGUAACAUAAUUUACAAUUAUCAGAAAUACUUGGUUAACUCCUCGAAAAAAAGAAGUUUUUUGGCCACCUACGAAAGAU